UCUUACAUCCAUUUUUCAUUGAGCUUUUGAUCACUGGCGGAGGAGGUGCCCGCAUUGCUGUCGCGGAGUGAAACUGCUGUGUUGAGGAAGGUGGGAGACAGCCAUGGGGAACGCGCAGAACCGCGAGCGCGGCCAGUCGGUCAGCUCUGCCUCGCCUGUCACGCGUACCGCCGUCGCCGAGUCGGCCUUCAGCUUCGACCAGCAGCAGCAGCGGCGGCGGCCGUCGCUGGCGCUGCAUGACGAG